AUUAUGAACUUUCUUGGAAGACACAGCAAGAUUACAAUGUCUUAGCAUCAUUUCCCCUAAAAGAUCACAAUUACAUUUACCUAAUUUUAUGGCAUUUUCUCUUUACAGGAUGAGGAGCUCAAAGAAACAAUAGAGAAAGCCAGGGAAAUGGAAGAGCAGUAUGGUCACUACUUCGACCUGAUCAUCAUCAACCAGGAUGUGGACCGUGCCUACCAUCAGCUGCUACAUGAGAUUAACAUGUUGGAAAGGGAGCCACAGUGGGUUCCAGCAGCAUGGCUUGCACAUGACCAGUGAUAGGUACUGUAGUGCUUCUAUGGUGCCAAAUUUUUACCUGUGCGCUUCCCUCUAGCCAAAGGCAGAAUUCUCCUCAGUGCUGCUGCUCUCAAGAUACGUUCCUUGUGUGGAAGUCUCACUUGAAGGGCAGCUGAGUUUUUACAAUCAAUGAUGUGAUGGCUUGAUGCUACAAUCCAUUGUCUGGUGAACACUAGGUGCAUGAAAUCAGUUGACUGUGUUAAGGUUGUGUUUUGAAAAUGGAUUAUCACAUGGAGUCUAACCGAAGGAAUUGAAAGAAAAAUACAGAGCAGAUAAUUGCUUUGAUAAAUGAUUGGACAUUAUAUUAACAUUGUAAAUUGACUUUCAUUCUAAUACCUCCCCUGCCCUGUGUGGACAUUUAACUUAGGUAAUAAAUCUAGACCAUGGCUCCAUUUACAAAAGGUGGGAAGUUUAAGCCCAUUGUAACGGGAUAAAAUCAGGCAGACAAAUGAUGGAAGACAAACCAGACAAAAACUGUGGUGUAAAAAGUAUUAAGCAAUCCACCUUUUGUUGAGGUGGCUCAAGUGUGUGUGAUACUAGGCAGAAUCUAGAAACACGUUAUUACCCUGUAAAGAAGACCCUCAAUCCUUCUUGAGAGUUUUAAUCUCUUUUUUGUUAUUUACAUUUUCUAUUUCUUUUAUUUUCCUGUACAUAAAAUUCUUUUACAUUAUGUUUGAAAAUUUAUAUACAAUAUAUCUAUAUCAUGUUUAUCAAACCUGCAGAUUUUUUUUUUUCUCUUUUUUUUUUUCCUUUUCUUUUCUUUCUUUUUUUUUUUGAUAAGUGUCCCUACUUUUCAAAUUUAAAACAUAAUAUAAAGGCUCAUUUCACCCCCAUGUUUAAAGUGUUUUAAUGUCAUACAGAUAACUUUCUAUUGACUUCAUAUUAAAUGUGAGAUUAAUGAAAGUAUUUUAUCAAUUUUCAAGAUAGCUGGAAGCAUUUGCUCAGUUACUAUAAAAGUUUUUAUUGGCAAUGUGCAAUAAGAUGAGACUUUUAAAAAAACAAUUAUUCUGAUCAAUUAGCAUGUACUUCAGAUAGUUUCCUUUGAUCCCUUAAAUGUUUGUAAUGUACAUAGAGGUGCCAUAUUACAUCAAAGUUGUGCUUGUAAAUCAAACCUGUGACUCCUGAUCUGUUUGCAGUGUUAAGCAGCAAUAAUAAUAAUACCUACAUACAUCCAAAAAAGUGUGUUGCAAAAGUCUUCACUAUUAUUUCCGUAAGGCUUUAGGAUUUAGCUCUGCCGUUCACAGAGACAAAUAAUCUGAGUGUCUUAUUAUUCAGAAUGAAUAUUGUUUACCAUAUAUUCAUCCCUGAGAAGCCUAUACAGUGAAGUCUCUCAAAAGCACAAGUAUGUGAGAAGUCAAGUUUGUGAUGCUGACAAUAUUGCAAAUACACACAUGAAACUGUAACUUCAGUAUUCCAGUGGUGUUUCCCCAAUUUGUGUAAUUCCUGUAUAUACUGUUAUGAUCUUCCUAUGUUCACUUUGUUGUAAGUAGAAGCAUAUAUGCCUCAUUAUAAUGAACCAUUAAAUGAUUAUGAUUCCUAAAAAUAAAUGUGUAUACCAGC